rnacentral:rRNA from 1 species
CCCCAGACUCCUACGGGAGGCAGCAGUGGGGAAUAUUGCACAAUGGGGGAAACCCUGAUGCAGCGACGCCGCGUGAGUGAAGAAGUAUUUCGGUAUGUAAAGCUCUAUCAGCAGGGAAGAAAAUGACGGUACCUGACUAAGAAGCCCCGGCUAACUACGUGCCAGCAGCCGCGGUAAUACGUAGGGGGCAAGCGUUAUCCGGAUUUACUGGGUGUAAAGGGAGCGUAGACGGCAUGGCAAGUCAGAUGUGAAAGCCCGGGGCUCAACCCCGGGACUGCAUUUGAAACUGUCAGGCUGGAGUGCAGGAGAGGUAAGCGGAAUUCCUAGUGUAGCGGUGAAAUGCGUAGAUAUUAGGAGGAACACCAGUGGCGAAGGCGGCUUACUGGACUGUAACUGACGUUGAGGCUCGAAAGCGUGGGGAGCAAACAGGAUUAGAUACCCUAGUAU